rnacentral:lncRNA from 1 species
GUUUUGUUGAAGGUUUAGUUUUUUGGUUAAUCAUUGUCAAGCUUAAAAACCGAAGCCAGACUGCAACAUUUUAGAAACCUAGCUAGCACUGUGGCAUGUCUGUACACUAGUAGUUAAAAGGCUAUCAGUUCCACUGUAACACUGCCAUAAAUAUUACAACCAAAAUAACUUCCUAAUUUGUUGGAUAUUAUGUAGCACUUUAUUCAAGAACAUUUAGUUCUGUACACAGACAGGACAUUCUGCACUUUAAGGCUGGUCUAGCAGAAGGCAGCAGAGCUUUAUGCUCUGUAAAGACUGAUGGCAACAGAAUCAAAAUGCAUUAUUAAAAUGAUAAGACAUGCUUCUAUAUUGCUCUUUGUGAUUUGAUAAGUGUUUCAUGUAAAAAUGGUAGAUAGUCUCGAGGACAAAUGUUCCUUUCAGAAUGGACAAUGAAGUGGUAUUCAUUUCUAUGGGGAUAUCGCGGUUCUAAAAUAAUGACACAUGCAUUCAAAAACAAGAAAUCCCUUAAAAACCCAAGACAUAACAUGUACUGAAACAUUUGGCUAAAGGAGAGGUAGUGGAUAAUUAAAUGUACAAAUGUGAACAGAGCAGAAGCAACUUUGGAUUUAAACUAUGGAACAGAACGCUAUGGGGUUGGUUUCCCAGACACCAAUUUAAGCGUAGUUCUGGACUAAAGCACCUUUUCUAGAAUUUCCAUUAUACAUUGAACGUGCUUUUAAGUCUCGGACUAGGCAUAAUCUGUGUCCAGAAAACUGUCCCUAUAAGUCUGGAUAUGAGUGAACUAAAGCCUUACAUGCUGACCACACCGAUCGCGUUUAUAUCCCAGGACAAAUUAGCUAGCAAUAGCAAGCUAGCUAACUAAAUUGACAUAAAUGUUUAAUGCUUUUCGACCUAUCCCCAAAUUAAUAUAGUUGGUUCAGAGUUCGUUUUGAUAUUUCAACCUGCGUGUCCUGAUUGCGUCUGGUGUGGGUGGACAAAAUCAACAUGCGCGCGAUGGCGCACGCACGGUCUGGUCAGCAUGUUAGAGUGCCUCCACUUUAAUGAUGUUGAGCUGGGUUUCCUGUGGGGAGACUGUGAUGUCUGAGUCCAGGUAAUCAGAGGCCUGGGUGGGGGCCAUGCAGUCCUGGAGAGCUCCCUCUGUGCUGGUGCUGGGAUAGUCUGUACUGUCUGUUCCUCUAUAGGACUGUGUGUGUGACUGCGUGUAUGUGGUGGCGUAAGACUGUGUGCAUGAGGGCAUGUGUGUUUGAGUGUGUGGCUGCUGUGUGUAGGCUGACGAGUGAGGCUGUGUGUGCGCCAGCGUGUAUGUAGGGGUGUGUGUGAGCGGGAGGCUAUCGGUGGUACUACUGCUGCUGCCCGUCUGGAAGCCGUUGAUGCCAUGGGGGCUCUGUCCGGACAGUUUGAAGGUCUCUAUGGUCUCCAGACUGGAGCUGUCCAUCCCAUUGUAGCUGGGCUGGGCCUGGCUGCACUGAGCAUACCCUCCUUGGCUGAAGGGGAAUGUGUCCUGGCUGUAGGAGGCAGAGCCUGAGGCAGGUAAGACCGGGGGUGGGGGAGUUUUGGGAUGCUGUCGCUGGUGGAGGCUGGUACAGGGUGCCUCCAGUCUUGAGGCCAGGGUCUGCAGGGUGCUGAGAAUCUGCCUCUGGACCUGGGUCUGCUGGACCUGCUCCCUCUCCAGCCGGUACUGCUGCUCCACCAGCAUGCGCACCGCCAGGCUCAGGCUGUGGAUCUCAGAGCCCAGGGUCUGGACCUGCUCCUGGAGACCCCCACCACCACCCCCUCCCCUCCCUCCGGCCUCCUGAUGAGCUGCCUGCUGAGGGCUGGGGUUCCUGUCUCUCCUGAGAAGGCCCUGGUUCAUUCCCUGGCUCCCAGGGCUUUGGAGGCGGAUGACAGGGCUACUACCCUGGGAGGUGGGUGGUGGUGGUGGGGAGUUGGGGAGCCGGAUGCCCACACGGGGAGGAGCAGGGUGUGGGGAGCGGACAGCUUGGCCACCGACUCUCUGCUGGAACAUCUGUCUGGGAACACUGGCUCCUUGCUGGCCAUCCAAAUUCCUCUGCAGAGUACAAGUCCAUUGUAACAUGGGUCAGUUGUAACAGGCUAAAUAUAUCAAAUUAAAACCUACUUAGAAAGCUGUUCCAUGUGCCAAUGAUUGGUUAGUCUUUACAUGACUAUGAAGUUUAAUUUAAAAACAAAUUUAUCCAUCAAUUAUCUUUGGUUUCAUUGACAGCUUUGUUUUGAGGCCAUGUUUGUUGUUGUAACUCAUUGUUACAACUUACCCCUUUACCUAAAAUUAUAUAGCAUUUAGACACAUGAACAUAUUUAUAUCAAAUGUCACUUCUUUACAUCAACUUUGGCAAUGCAACUAUGAUAAAACCUUUGAAAAAAAUGUAAAAGUCACAUUUUUCUUUUUGAACGCUAAUACUAAAUAUAGUUUUUCAGCUAUUCAGUUUCUGGUCAAUAUGACAAGCCUAACUCGUUUUCUUUGUCAAUUCUGUGUAUUUACAUCCAAAACGGUUUUUAAAUCAUACCAUUGUUGAAUUACCCCUAAUGUUUUACCAUUAAAGACAGUGUUACAACUGUCCCUGCUAUUGGGGUAACUUUCGGACCUUGGGUCUAAGCCAGAAUUGUGAAAAGUAUACAUGUAACUGUAGCCUACCUUUAGUUAGCAG